GGACUACCGGGGUAUCUAAUCCCGUUUGCUCCCCUAGCUUUCGCGCAUCAGCGUCAGGAAGGGUCCAGUCUGCCGCUUUCGCCACUGGCGUUCCCACCGAUAUCAACACAUUUCACCGCUCCACCGGUAGUUCCGCAGACCCCUAUCCCCCUCGAGCGACGCAGUACUGGGAGCAAUUCCACGGUUGAGCCGAUGGGAUUUCACUUCCAACUUACGCCGCCGCCUACGCGCCCUUUAAGCCCAAUGAUUCCGAAUAACGUUCGCACGGUUCGUCUUACCGCGGCUGCUGGCAC
rnacentral:rRNA from 1 species